GGACUACAGGGGUAUCUAAUCCUGUUUGCUCCCCACGCUUUCGUGCCUCAGUGUUAGUAACAGACCAGGAAGUCGCCUUCGCCACUGGUGUUCCUUCCGAUAUCUACGCAUUUCACCGCUACACCGGAAAUUCCACUUCCCUCUUCUGCACUCUAGUCUUCCAGUCUUAAACGCAAUUCCUAGGUUAAGCCCAGGGAUUUCACAUCUAACUUAAAAAACCACCUACGCACCCUUUACGCCCAGUAAUUCCGAUUAACGCUUGCACCCUCUGUAUUACCGCGGCUGCUGGCAC
rnacentral:rRNA from 1 species